rnacentral:rRNA from 1 species
AGAGUUUGAUCCUGGCUCAGAACGAACGUUGGCGGCGUGCUUAACACAUGCAAGUCGAACGAGAACGGUUUCUUCGGAGACCUAGUAAAGUGGCGCACGGGUGAGUAACGCGUAGAUAACCUGUCCAGGUGUUCGGGAUAGCCCUUCGAAAGGGGGAUUAAUACCGGAUACGUUAGUUUGUCAUAAGACAGAUUAAGAAAGGUGGCCUCUAUUUAUAAGCUAUCGCAUUUGGAGGGGUCUGCGUACCAUUAGUUUGUUGGUGGGGUAAUGGCCUACCAAGACUUCGAUGGUUAGCGGGUCUGAGAGGAUGAUCCGUCACACUGGCACUGAAACACGGGCCAGACUCCUACGGGAGGCAGCAGUGAGGAAUAUUGCGCAAUGGGGGAAACCCUGACGCAGCGACGCCGCGUGGGUGAGGAAGGCUUUCCGGUCGUAAAGCCCUGUCAGAAGGGAAGAAAUGUGUAGUGGCUAAUAUCCAUUGGACUUGACGGUACCUUCAAAGGAAGCACCCGGUUAACUCCUGGCCAGCAGCCGCGGUAAU